UGCGGGCGCCCCGAGCUCGGUCCGGGGACGAGGGCGGAGACGCGGAGGGAGCCGAGGUCAGAGGGCGGGCCGCGCGGGGAGGUUGGCGGCCUUACCCUGGAGCUCCUCCUCCAGGACCGAGGACUCCGUCGGACUCCUGCCCAGCUUCAUUUCCGUGAGACACGCUCAGGGACUGGGUACUCCGCGGCGGGUCGUGCGCCACAUGGGGUCGAUGCGCCCGGGCCCACCCAGCAUCGCUUGAUGCCUCCGGGUUGGCUUUUCCCGAUCUCCAGUCAUCAACAUCGCUGAGACUCUAGAUCUAGCAUCACUUGGGUGAUGCGGCUUCUCUUCCCCAGGGGGACAGUUACCCCACGAAGAUUUCCCUGAAGUCCCUUUCCAUCAUUGACCCGAGGUUGCAGGGUCCUUCCUCAGGACACCCUCGGAUUAUUUUUAGUUUGAUGAGGACAGAUCGGGAGCCGGCUGCGCUCUGGGAACUAGGCGGGGGGCUGGGACUUUCUCGAACUUUGGCCUUCGUCCCUACAAGUACAUACAAACACCACGUGCACGCGGACGCACACCGCCGGCUCCCCGUGUACCCUGCUAUCAAACAGCAACAACAACAAAACCCAGAAAACAAACAAACAAAGGCAAUAGUCCUUUAGACAUUUCCUCCGCUCCCCGCGGGCCAGACCCCGGCUACUGCCCUCCACCUGCUCCUCAGCGAACGUGCUCCCUUGUUCCUGACGCUGCGGCCGGUGCAGCCCGCGCCGCCUUCAGUAUUACUAUUUCUGUUCCUGAGCUUCGCGGUGAAGACGUGUGGAGCCGCCUUCAGAGAAGGUUCCCCACCGCCUUGAGCAGCCGAGCGCCCUCCCGCGUCCACACAAACCCCAGCACCUGCCGGGCUGUUCAGUCCGAGAGCGCCCCCGUGUGGGUAACCCCCUACGAGGAGGCCUCGUGCCCUUGCCCCGCCCCGCCGGGCCGCGUGGCCACGCGUCACACAUCGAAUGUCGCCCCUCACGCCUUUGAAGACACAGGUUUAUUGAGUUCCAGGUCCAGAUGUUUCCCUCUGUCUACUGUGAGAAUGCAGAAGGUAAUCUGAUCAUUCCUCCUUUUUGUUCCACUUCUGCUUGAAGAUUUGGCAGUGUAGCCCUGGAAGAUGUUCAGUUUUAGAAAAGCCAGUUGAAGAAUGAUGUGUAAAAAAAAAGAACUGAAAAACAUGACAAGGAUGGUAAAUUGGCUGGAAACAUGGUAAAGUGCUGAACAGUUGUCGAUUUUGAUGAAGCUAGAAAAGCGAUAGCUUUGAGAUGGUGCUAACAGUUUUCCAGAAAUUGAAGAACUGGCAGCAAGAAGCUAGAGUACCUUUUCUGUCUUUCCACAGAUCGAGACAAGAAACUCCGAUUGAGAACCACGAGAUUUGGAAGAGCAGAAUUCAUUUCAAUAUAAAGUUCUCUACACAUCUUUAAAUAUUUUUCUUUCAAGUUUUACUUUAUGAAACACCUCUGAGUCUCUAUUACACAAAGGAAGAUUCCCCUGUCGCAGCUAAGAUGCCGGGAGCCGGUGGGGCGAGAUGUAAGUCACCUUGAGGAGCAGUUACACCCGCAGCCCACCUUGGUCACUUGGUUGCCACAGACAUGCUUU
rnacentral:lncRNA from 12 species